rnacentral:rRNA from 1 species
GACAGAGGGUGCAAACGUUGUUCGGAAUCACUGGGCGUAAAGCGCACGUAGGCGGACUUUUAAGUCGGAGGUGAAAUCCUGGAGCUCAACUCCAGAACUGCCUUCGAUACUGAGAGUCUUCGAGUUCGGGAGAGGUGAGUGGAACUGCGAGUGUAGAGGUGAAAUUCGUAGAUAUUCGCAAGAACACCAGUGGCGAAGGCGGCUCACUGGCCCGGUACUGACGCUGAGGUGCGAAAGCGUGGGGAGCAAACAGG